rnacentral:pre_miRNA from 1 species
ACAACAUUCGGACCGUUGUGGAUUGCUUACUAAGCAAUAUGACCUGCUCGGUGGAAGAUCUUCCCUUUGUCCU